CCACAGAAGGGGUGCAGCCAAUGUAGUGCCUUCCAGGUGUUUUUUGACUCCCAGCUUCUACCAGCAUGGCCAAUGGCCUACGGCAAGAUGACUGUGGUUACAAGUGGAGCAAGGAUUGCAUGUCACUCCCUUGAAUGUUGAACUCUCUUCUGUGCUUGGAGUUAACAGUCUGAAAAAGAAAAAUGUACAGAGCCAAAUAUAGCCCAGAAAUUCUCCUACCCAUCACAAGAAUCUGUCUAAGGGAACAUGGACUUAACCUUGACUUUGGGGUCAAUGCUUUCUGCAAAGUGUACAGUCAGCAGAGAGUACGGGGGAAAAUCAAUGUGGAACAUAUUACCGAAUAUGAUGCUCAGACGUUACUGCUUGGAAGUCAUGCCUGGAGAUGGAAGCAGCAGAGGUUAUUUUAAAAGGAGAGCAUGUCAAAGGAGCUCUUUCAUUUGGUGUGCUUGCUUCUUAUUCUUCAUCAGUUUUUGACCGCAGCCUCUCCUCUCUCUUUUGUGAAGAGGUUUCUUUUAUGUUUCAGCCUUCAACUCGCUGGGAGGCUAAGUGGAGUCAUGGCUGUCUCCCUUAGCUUCACUGGGGCUGGGUAGCUGGCAAUGGAAUUAAUAGGCUAGUUUUUUAUUUAGAGCAUGUAUAAACCAGUUGCUCAACAACUUCUCCAAGUGGUGUACAAGUCCUAUUCUUUACAGAGAAUGAAUAAAAUAAAAAAGAAUUAUUAUUAA